rnacentral:rRNA from 1 species
ACGUACUUGUACUGAUUGAGAUUUUAACACGAAGUGAGUGGCGAACGGGUGAGUAACACGUGGGUAACCUGCCCAGAAGUAGGGGAUAACACCUGGAAACAGAUGCUAAUACCGUAUAACAGAGAAAACCGCAUGGUUUUCUUUUAAAAGAUGGCUCUGCUAUCACUUCUGGAUGGACCCGCGGCGUAUUAGCUAGUUGGUGAGGUAAAGGCUCACCAAGGCAGUGAUACGUAGCCGACCUGAGAGGGUAAUCGGCCACAUUGGGACUGAGACACGGCCCAGACUCCUACGGGAGGCAGCAGUAGGGAAUCUUCCACAAUGGACGCAAGUCUGAUGGAGCAACGCCGCGUGAGUGAAGAAGGGUUUCGGCUCGUAAAGCUCUGUUGUUAAAGAAGAACGUGGGUAAGAGUAACUGUUUACCCAGUGACGGUAUUUAACCAGAAAGCCACGGCUAACUACGUGCCAGCAGCCGCGGUAAUACGUAGGUGGCAAGCGUUAUCCGGAUUUAUUGGGCGUAAAGCGAGCGCAGGCG